rnacentral:rRNA from 1 species
UACGUAGGGGGCUAGCGUUAUCCGGAUUUACUGGGCGUAAAGGGUGCGUAGGUGGUUUCUUAAGUCAGAGGUGAAAGGCUACGGCUCAACCGUAGUAAGCUUUUGGAACUGUAAGACUUGAGUGCAGGAGAGGAGAGUGGAAUUCCUAGUGUAGCGGUGAAAUGCGUAGAUAUUAGGAGGAACACCAGUUGCGAAGGCGGCUCUCUGGACUGUAACUGACACUGAGGCACGAAAGCGUGGGGAGCAAACAGGAUUAGAUACCCCCGUAGUCCCUGAGCGGG